GAGUCUGCAAUGGACCAACAGAAUUGUAGACCAACAGAUGCCGUCAGGAUUUCCGUUAGAUUGACCGCGUCAACUCGCAUAGGACUGGGAAGAUGAAACUGUAAAGUAUGAAGUUACCACAGGGGUUUUUAGGGGAGAAGGAGAGAAGUAGCUGCAUCAAGGAGGAGACAAAGGUCCAGUUUGAAGAAACCAUCAACGUGCAAACAGAGCACAGUUGAAGUCUUCUCCCUCGUCAUCUCCUCCUCAUCCUGCAAAGAAGAAAGCGUGAAUCCGAUAAACAAGAAGAUUACAAACCAAAAGAUGAGGAAGACGAUGGUGAGAAAAGCUGGGUCUUAAGCUUAGGCUGCUGGGUUUUCAUGAUGGGAAUGGGAUCAACUCUUUGUUUUUGAUGGGUAGCAUAGUUUGCUUUUGAUUACAUGAGGCAUUUGU
rnacentral:lncRNA from 1 species